ensembl:lncRNA
CUCAGGGGAGGGUGGUGGAGGAAGGAAUAUCGGAGAAAGGCAUGCAGGGUGUUUCCUUAAAGUAAAGGAAGAAUUUAAUCAGACGUUAAUCGAUCAUUUUUUACUACUCUACACCGCGAGAACAAUGAAAAAGUAAGUUAAAUAUUUAUAAAAUACAAAUACUGUCCGCGAUGUGGGGAAAAGUGCACCGUCGGGAAUAACAUAGGUAAGUCAGAAGUAUCCGCUUGCCACCCGCCCCUCUAAAAAUAUUGUAAACAAGAAAUCUCCAACGUUUAUUAACAUACUGUAUACUAGUAUAACAUGUGUCGUGUGUUUGAUCAAUCAUAUUCAUAGCAAGCAAACGAAAUCGUUAUACGGUCCGACAGCAAGUUCGAUAACUACUUCAACUUUGUAAAAUUAAGACGUUUUGGUAAUAGGCUAUGGGCUUGUAUGCAUACUUGUAUAGUUCAGCUGAUAGAAAAGAAACAAUUUACUAUUAUGAGUUUAGUCUGUUUCCUCCGGAGUAGCUAUACUGGUUGAUCCAGUUGUUGAUUCUAAACUAUUGACAGUUUUAUAAGAUUGUGCAAAUAGGUUGGCAGUUGCUAUUUGCUAGACUAUUACUUUUUAUUACCCACCACAAUUCACUUACACCAAAUGUGAAUUAAUCAAAUCCUCUUCCAUGGCGUCCCAUUCUCUGCCAUCAACCCAGAACUGGGUGAGGGAUGGACGGGGAGAAAGAGACAGCGGAGAAGGAUGACACAGAGCUGUCCGAAGAAGGGGCUGGACGCAGUCAUUUCCACGAGGACGACCAGGACCUACCCAUCAUGCACUGGGAGGACCUAAGUCUAAGGAUUGCAGAGCUGGAGAAACAGGAGGAGGAGAAGAGGGAGAGAGCAAAGAGUACAAGUGGGUCAGAACAGGGGAGUGUGUCAGGAGGCUGGGCAGAGGAGAGGCAGGGUGGGCUGUGGAGGAGGGAAGAAUGGGAGGAGCAGGAGGACUACGGAAGAUGUAGAGUCACAGUCGUCUCAUCUAGAAUCAACAACCACAAGAAUUUACAGUUAUGUUACAUCAACAACAGUGAGAGCGAUGAUGAUGAGGACGAGAGGGGGGCUGGCAAAAAGGGUUCUAUAGAGGCAGGUGGCCGUGGUUACCGUCCCUCUGGACUGAAGCUGGAGGUUAGAGCUGCACUGAGUGCGCUCAGAAACAAGUUGCUUGCAGAACAGAAUGAGAAAGAGCAUCUCACCUGCAGCAGCGUGAUCACUAAAAGGAAACAUCUGGAACGCUGUGACUUGGAAGUCUGCACAAUACAGCGACUCAACUCCCUCAGAACCUCCCUAAAUCACGACAUACAUGACCUGAGCUCAGAGUUGGUGGGUCAUCUGUUGGUAAGGGACCAGCUGAGGACCAAACAAGACGCUAUGCUCCUAGACGUACAGGAUCUGACAUAACCUUAACCCAUAGGAGCACAGGAUGUGACCUCCACUGCCAGGAACUUCUAGAAGUCAUUGUGAACAAUAGAGGAUUUUGUUAUCCUUUCCAGGAUAUGCCUCUUUCAGACUGUGUUGCCCUAGUAGCUUACUCAACAUACGAUUUUUCAUACAGGAAAACAUUUCAUGAAGGAUGAAAACUGAUAAGCAACAACUUGGACUGGUAUGAUGGAAUCUAGAUCACGCAGAUAGGAUAUGGAGGAUAUCUUCAUCUUGCAUUAUGCUUGAACAUCAUUUUCAUCAACAUCAUUAACUGGGAGAGUACUGUAUGAGAUCCUUUCAACCAACGCAUGCACUUAAAAAAAAUCAUAUCAGGAGUGUUUUUUGUGAUGUUUGAAAAAUCUUGGAUAUCUGAAGGUUUAUCUUAUCAAACGUGGAACCUUCACAGGCAUCGUUUGAUCAAGCCUUCAAUGAGUUAUAUCAUUUACCUACGGAAGAGGGAUUACAGCUUUUCCACAAGUUUUAUUGUGUAAACAUUGCAAUAUCCGUGAGUUACUAAUAUAAGGGAAAGUGUGAAACAAGCUAAGGAGUUACACUCAGGCUAAAAUGAACUAUCCUUUAAAAUUGGUUGAGAAGCUCCUUUGUUACUAAUUUAACAUAAUUAUCAUGUUUAUUAUUACUAUAAUGCAUUAUAAAAGGCAUUAUAAAAUGUAGUUGCUGAUGUCCACGUAUAGUACCAUGUAUAUGAGGUGAUUCUUAUGAGGAACAUUACUCUAAACUACCACCUGCAUAGGAAACCACAAUGCUGCUAUUCCAUUAAUUAUGUGUAGGCACAAGAUAUUUACCUGAAGAUACAGGCCCAGAGUCUUUCUUGUUCAGGUCACAUGGUCACUUCUUGUGCCUUAACCAGCCAGUACUAUGUCGCACUUUCACAUAAUCAUGUGUGUUGUAGAAUGAUGCAAAGAAUGAACUGUGAUAGGAGAUUCAUAGCCAUAAGAAAGGGAAGAGUGCUCUAAAGUACAGAGUAUUUCACUUUUUAAUCUGAAGUGUGUUUUGUUAUUGACUUUUUUCUUAAUCCUUUUGUAUUCAAUAAACUUUGUAAGGUAAAUAAAC